rnacentral:rRNA from 1 species
UACGGAGGGUGCAAGCGUUAUCCGGAUUCACUGGGUUUAAAGGGUGCGUAGGCGGGCAGGUAAGUCCGUGGUGAAAUCUCUGAGCUUAACUCAGAAACUGCCAUGGAUACUAUUUGUCUUGAAUAUUGUGGAGGUAAGCGGAAUAUGUCAUGUAGCGGUGAAAUGCUUAGAUAUGACAUAGAACACCAAUUGCGAAGGCAGCUCACAAAACUAUAACUGACGCUGAGGCACGAAAGCGUGGGUAUCAAACAGG